UACGAAGGGGGCUAGCGUUGUUCGGAAUUACUGGGCGUAAAGCGCACGUAGGCGGCUUUGUAAGUUAGAGGUGAAAAGCCCGGGGCUCAACUCCGGAAUUGCCCUUAAGACUGCAUCGCUAGAAUUGUGGAGAGGUAAGUGGAAUUCCGAGUGUAGAGGUGAAAUUCGUAGAUAUUCGGAAGAACACCAGUGGCGAAGGCGACUUACUGGACACAUAUUGACGCUGAGGUGCGAAAGCGUGGGGGAGCAAACAGG
rnacentral:rRNA from 1 species